AUUGAACGCUGGCGGCAGGCCUAACACAUGCAAGUCGAACGGUAACAGGAAGAAGCUUGCUUCUUUGCUGACGAGUGGCGGACGGGUGAGUAAUGUCUGGGAAACUGCCUGAUGGAGGGGGAUAACUACUGGAAACGGUAGCUAAUACCGCAUAACGUCGCAAGACCAAAGAGGGGGACCUUCGGGCCUCUUGCCAUCGGAUGUGCCCAGAUGGGAUUAGCUAGUAGGUGGGUUAACGCCUCACCUAGGCGACGAUCCCUAGCUGGUCUGAGAGGAUGACCAGCCACACUGGAACUGAGACACGGUCCAGACUCCUACGGGAGGCAGCAGUGGGGAAUAUUGCACAAAGGGCGCAAGCCUGAUGCAGCCAUGCCGCGUGUAUGAAGAAGGCCUUCGGGUUGUAAAGUACUUUCAGCGGGGAGGAAGGGAGUAAAGUUAAUACCUUUACUCAUUGACGUUACCCGCAGAAGAAGCACCGGCUAACUCCGUG
rnacentral:rRNA from 1 species